AUCAAUCAAGCCACAUAGAUGCCUCUGUGACCUGUUUAUCACCUAAACAAUCCACAUUGCCUUGAAUGUGGAAGAGUGGACACAGAGCAGAAAGAAACCCCGGCAAUGCCCGUUGGCCUCACACCCUUCAUUUCCCCACAGCAGCUCUGUCCAGCACACCUGUCCCGGGAGGCGGGCGCGCCCAGGUGCGCCAGACCUGGCUGGAGUCCUGGUGCCCAUUGACAGCCUUGGGCACGGUGGCUGCAGGAGUGUACUGCUGCCCUGAUCCUUCGGGUGGGGACCCUGUACAGGACCAUAGAAGGGCCUGGACAGAGGGCAGAGUAGGCACCAGCCCUGGGCGGAGGUGACACGAAGACCCUUCCACUGGUCAGUCAGCUGCCCACCAUGGCACUCCCUACUGGGGGUUCAAAGACCAGCAGCCAGCCAACAGAGCACACUGCAGAAUACCUAGCUCUACCAGCAAAGCGGUUCCUCUCUGGACAAAGGGCUCCGAGGCAGCCCUGUUUGCUGGGGACAGGAAUCACGGGCCCUCGUGGCACCUGAAUCGGAUCGCUGUCCCCCCCAGUAAAGGCGGGGGCGGGGGGAGCUGUGGCGCGUGGGGACAUGGUCCCCAUGCCACCUGCCUCGUGUCUCCCCCACCCCGCCUGGCCGCCCCCGCCGGGCCCAGUACCUGGGUUCUCCCCGGCGUCCGUGGAGGUGGCUGAGGAGUCGCUGAGGAAGCUGGGGUCACUCUGCGAGCGGCCCCGCGACACAAGGCAGCUGCUGCCGUCCUCGGAUGCGGCCAUGGGAAAGGCGACGCAGGGGCAAGUUGGAGGGAGAUGCGGAAUCAGAGCAUCCUAGGCGGCCAAGGUCACCGGCGAGGGGGCUGGAGAGGGCGUCUUUUUUAAAAGGAAAAGCAAAAGGGACCAGGAAAGAAAAAGAACGGAGGAGGACGCCAGGCUGGCUUCAGGGUGGGGAGACAAAAGCCUUGCAGGCUGCAGCCAGGCGCAUCCCGGCUUGCGCGGCCUCGCUUUGUUAUUUAUUCGUAUUUAUUCCCAUUCUUCUGCUUAUAUUCCAGGG
rnacentral:lncRNA from 1 species